CUUGUUUAUUUCAGCAUUUUUAUUAGAUUUAAAGAGGAAAAGUUAAUUGGACACAACUAGCUUCUCUCACCAAAUAAAAAACCCUCAACACCACCAAACACAGAGGAGGAAAAGUAUGCAUUUUAUGUCAAAAUGAAUUUGUUUUAGCACAUCAGUUAAUGGAGACAGCCAAAGUCUUCUGAAAACUCAUACUUUCGAUAAGCUGCAUCUGAGACUCCCCCCAUCCCUCUCCUGCUGUUAUUCUUGUGUGUAACGAUACUUAGAGCAGGCAAAUGCUAUUCAGGAGAAUUCACACGAGCUGACAGAAAUGAGUGUUGAUGGCUCUUUUCAAAAUAUCAAGGAGUAUGAUAUUUUGAUACCUUCACUUCAAAACAAUGCUCAAAGCACUGAAAAAGAAAGCAUAUCUCUAACUUAUCGUCAUUAUGCUGAACUGACUGUCAUUCUUUGGAGACUCUUCGAAGGCAUUGUUCAUAUUUAUCAAGGUAUGUCUUACCCCAUGAGGAGCAUGUGAGAUCACUCCAUUGAUGUCGUCAGCUCCAAGCUAUUGGGUUUGGGAGGAUUGUUCAUUGCUCAGGCUAGUGGACUGGAAGGAGCUAAUUUGAUUGACUUUGAACAUCAAGUUUCCAUGCUGGAGGUCCAUGGUGCCUUGACAGUCUCGACGAUCAUGGUCAGUGAGCUCAUCAGUGGCUAGUCAGGUUGCACCUGACAUACGUCAAUGUCUAGAACAACAAUACACGCUAACAUUAGCUAAUGCCCAAAGUGAUGGUGAUUUGAAUGAAUGGAGCAGAUUUAAAUUUAUGUGUGCAAAUAUGAAUUGUAAUGACAGUUCUGAACCUAAUGAUUCCCUCCUGACCUCAGCUCAAACAAAGCCAAUGUAUUUGGACAUGUUAUUUCAGAAGAACAUAAAUGAUGUUGCUAUUUACCAGAAAGAACAUUAUUUUCAUAACAGUACCCUUAAAAUAGUCGUUAUGUCUGUAGCUGUGGCUCACAACAUAUGCAGAUGGGGACCAUAUGCUCAUGGGGACCUGGGUUCAGGUCUGGCCCGGGUCAUGUCACAGACCUGUUUCACAGCCACAUCUUUCUUACUUUACUAUCCUGUUGCCUUUUCACUUUACAAUAAAUAAAUUAAAUAAAAAUGUUUAAUAAUUAAAUUAAAUAUAUAAAAUAGUAUAAAGUAUAAAUAUAUAUUUGUUUUUAUAAUAUAAAUAUUAUAUAUUUAACACUGUAGCAUGCAAAGUACUAAAUACUAAAUAUAUUUAAUAUCAAUAUAUUAUUAUUAUUAAAGCUAGAACAGCUAGAAAAUUAUAAUACAAUUCUGACAACUUGCAUAUGAAUAAAUCUGUUUGCAUUUACCAUGUUGAAUGUUUUAUUGCAUAAUACAUGUAUUUUUUUUUUUUUCUAAUGUAUGUGGCUUUAUCUAAAAGCAUUAUAUUAAUGCUGUGAUAAUGAGUCAGAGACGUUCGGAUCCAUUUGCAGUAGUAUUUAUUAGAGAAUGGUCAGACAAGAAGUAAUCAGAUAACAGCGUCAAAGUAUGUCAAAGGAUAUCCAGAAUCAGAAACAAUACCAGGCAGAGGUCGGGGCAGGCAGCAGAUGAAGAAUCGAGAAUCAGUGAACAGUCAAAGGUCAGAUACCAGGGAAUCAACAAUGUAGAUAAACGCUCGGAAAUGUUAGCCGGGGCAGAACAAGACUUCGCAAAGUGCAAGAGUCCGGAGGCAGUUUAUAUAGAGGGGUGAAGUGAAAACAGCUGUGCAGGUGAUCAGACCUAGGUCCGGGGCUGAUGGGAAAUGUAGUUCAAUACUCAGGUGACGGUGUCCUUCGGUGAUCAGAAGGACACCGUCCUCCCUGCGAGCGGCUCCUGAAGCUAGGACCAGUGCGAUGCCGAGGUCUUCCACAGGAUAUGGGGGCAGGUCUUUCAGGGUGGUUCUGAUGAAACUCAGCGGUAAGUCCUGUGAUCUCACCCAGGAUCUCUCCUCUGGACCAUACCCCUCCCAGUCGAUCAAGUACUGUAACUCCCUGCCUCUGCGUCUUGAGUCAAGUAUCUCCCUCACUCGGUAGGCCUCCUCGCCGUCGAUGAUGAUGGGAAGGGCGCUCUCUCCCGCGACCUCAUCCUGGUCCCUCUCUCCUCUCAGAACACUGGCAGGUUUGAGCAAGGAAACAUGAAAGAUCGGAGAAAUGCUAUAAGCGGAUGGCAAGGCUAGACGAUAUAAAACAGGGAUUAUUUGUCUGAGAAUCUUAAAAGGACCCACGUACCUAGGGCUUAGCUUCUUGCUGGGAAGUUGAAGAUGAAGGUCCUUGGAUGAUAGCCACACCCACUGUCCAGGAGCAUACUGGGUCCCCUUCUCCGAUGACGAUCAGCCUGUUCUCUGACUCUGCUAACUGCUCGUUGAAGGUGUACGUGAGCAUUGUUCCAUGUCUCCUCACUUCUCUGUAACCAUGUAUUAACGGCCGGGAGAACUGAAGGCUCCCCGGACCAGGGAAACAGAGGGGGUUGGUAUCCUAGUACACAUUGGAAAGGGGUGAGGCCCGCAGAGGGUUUGAGCAAUGCGUUCUGGGCGUACUCGGCCCACAUGAGGAAAUGGCUCCAGUCUUGCUGGUUCUGAUGACAGUAGGUGCGUAGAAAGCGUGUGAGUUCCUGAUUUAGCCUCUCCACCUGUCCAUUAGACUGUGGAUGAUAUCCGGAGGUUAAACUGACGUUGAUAUUGAGUUGACCACAGAAUGCCUGCCAAACCCGGGAGGUGAAUUGGGGUCCCCGAUCCGAGACUAUAUCCUCAGGUAACCCAUAAAUUCGGAAGACCUGCUGUAUUAAAGCCUCCGCUGUCUGCAAAGCUGUGGGUAGUUUGGCCAAGGGAAUGAAUCUGCAAGCCUUGGAGAAUCAAUCAACCACUGUCAGAAUGGUAGUGUAGUUCUGGGAGGGGGGUAGAUCUGUGACAAAAUCAAUAGCAAUAUGGGACCAUGGGCAUUGUGGCAUAGGUAGUGGCUGAAGUAAUCCAGCUGGUUUCUGAUGGGAUGAUUUGACAAUGUUGCAUGUGGUGCAUUAAUGCACGAAGGUGAUCACAUCGGCCUGGAGUGUAGGCCACCAGAAAUGGUUCGUCACAAGGUGAGUGAUGGCGAUGAUCCGGGAAGUCCAGCACUGGGAGUAUUAUGCACCCAUUGUAACACCCGUGUGCGAAGGCACAGUGGCACGUAUGUGCGAUCUGGGGGGCAUUCGGGCGGUGAUUGCUCUCCCCUCUGUGCUGCUGAAAUCUCAGUCAUGAUGUCUCACUGUACCAGGGCUAGAAUGAGUGUCGCAGGAAGUACUGGAUCUGAUGUGGGGGAACUAGGGGAAUUUUCAAACUGACGAGACAGAGCAUCGGCCUUGCCGUUCUUGGAGCCUGGGCAAUAUGUGACCUUAAAAUUGAAUCGAGUAAAGAAGAGGGACCACCUGGCCUGUCUGGGGUUCAGUCAUUUAGUUUGCAGAAUGGUAGGCACAGGGGAAAAGUUUAGCUGGACUUCCAUGCCGCUGUGACAGUAUUGCCCCGAUUCCUGUGUUGGAGGCGUCCACUUACACAAUGAAUUCCCGUUCGGGAUCUGGAUGAUGCAGAAUGGGAGCUGUAGUGAAUUUCUCCUUGAGCUGUUUGAAUGCGGCAAUACUCUCGGAUGACUAGUUUAAACGCUGUCCACCCCCUUGAAGUAGAGAUGUGAGUGGCGCUGCCGUGAUGCAGAAUAGAUUAGAAUAUCGUCAAUGUAGACAAUGAGAUUUUUGUUUAGCAUGUCUCGGAAGACCUCAUUCACAAAUGCCUGGAAUACUGAGGGACUUUUGGCGAGCCCGAACGGCAUCACGUGAUAUUCAUAGUGCCCGGUAGUGGUUGAGAAGGCUGUUUUCCACUCGUCUCCCUCCCUGAUCCGAAUCAGAUUAUAAGCAUUGCGAAGGUCCAACUUUGUUAAGUAUCUUGCGGUGUGGAGCUGUUCUAGGGUGGCUGGAACUAACGGAAAUGGAUAACAAAACUUCACUGUGAUCUCGUUAAGACUGCGAUAAUUGAUACAGGGAUGUAGACCGCCAUCCUUUUUCUUUACGAAGAAGAAUCCGGCAGAAGCGGGGGAAGUGGAUGGUCUAAUGAAUCCCUUUGAGAGUUGUUCCUCGAUGUACACUUUCAUGGCGUCGGAUUCAGGUUGAGAGAGGGGAAAAAUUCUUCCCCGUGUGGGAAUGGCUCCUGGGAUGAGGUAUAUCGCACAGUCAUUGGCUCUGUGAGGGAGAAGCUGAGUGGCCCUACUCUCUCUGAAGGCUAGAGCGAGAUUGUGGUAUUCUGCAGGUAUGUUUAGGAGAUCUGGAUUCUCGGUGUGGGUGGAGAUCAGAGUGACUCUAGUGAGAGGGUGCAGGCAUUCCCUUUGACUGGUUUUGGACCACUGGAUUAUCUGUUUUUCAGUCAAUGAUAUAGUAGGAUUAUGCUUCUCAAGCCAGGGCAGACCUAGAAUUAUGGGGUGUCAUGGGGAUUCAAUGGUGAACAGUUAAAUGAUCUCAGUGUGCAGGGUGCUCGUGCUUAGGGUGACUUCUUGAGAGAUGUAUUGGAUCUUGUCGGUACCCAAAGGACGUCUGUCGAACGCUGCCACUGCCACCCGGGAUUUACAUGGAAGGAGAGAAAGAUUAUGAGCUUUAGCGAAUGACAGAUCAUUUUCCAUAUGUGGGAAAUGACAGGUGCCCCCCCCCCCCAUAGAGCCGUUGCUCAAUCCAGAGCCCUUCCACUCAACAGUGAGCAGACGAAUGAUACUCGGCUGUCCUCGGUAGGAUAGAGGUUCGGUUGCUGGUUGAUGAAUAGAGAACAUUGCAAAAGGAAUCCCUUACACUUUGCAGAUGAGCCAUCAUAUUUGUCAGGGAGGGACAGACGAGGAUUGCUAAGGGGAGUGCUCACACUCUGAAUCAGCUGAACUGGAGAUGCAGCGGGAGGAGCUGAGGUGGCUGCCUGUGUAGUAAGUGCCUGCAUUGAUCUCACUAACUCCUCGGUCAGCGAGGUCAAUUUCAUGAGCUGUUGCUGGUGAGCAGCCAGCAUAGAGGCUUGAGAUGACACCUCUGAGGUGAGACGAUACAUGGCUGCUGGAUCCUGUGUUGGUGAAGUCUUCUGUGAUGCAGAGUCAGAGACGUUCAGAUCCAAAUGCAGUAGUAUUUAUUAGAGAAUGGUCAGACAGGAAGUAAUCAGAUAACAGUGUCAAGUAUGUCAAAGGAUAUUCAGAAUCAGAAAAACAUACCAGGCAGAGGUUGGGGCAGGCAAAAGACGAAGAAUCGAGAGUCAAUGAACAGUCAAAGGUCAGAUACCAGGGAAUCAACAAUGUAGAUAAAUGCUCAGAAAUGUUAGAUGGGGCAGAACAAGACUUCGCAAUGUGCAAGAGUCCGGAGGCAGUUUAUGUAGAGGAGUGAAGUGAAAACACCUGUGCAGAUGAUCAGACCUAGGUACGGGGCUGAUGGGAAAUGUAGUUCAAUACUCAGGUGACGUGUCCUUCGGUGAUAGGAGAGAGCCACAAAGGCGCGAUCUAUGACAAAUGCAUAUAAAAUUAAAAUUCUGUCAUAAUUUACUCACUCCAAAAUAAGAUAUUUUGAAAACAUGUCUCAGUUUUUUUUUGUCCAUACAAUUAAAGAAAAUAAUAACAGAAUUUUAAUUUUUGGGUGUACUGUCCCUUUAAUUGUCACAAUUUAACAUCAGUAGAGACUAGGUUGACGUCAUUGUUAAAGUAGUUAAAGUCAUCUACACUUACAUGCAUAGGGGAUGUCAUUCCUGAUCUUCUACACAGGUGUCAUGUUAACACUCCCACUUUUUCUAUGUGUCAGCCACAUGCAACUCCCUCUCGGCUUUGUUUCUGCACCUGACAUACAUUUCUUUCACUACUCACAGGCAGCCAUGGUGAUAAUGAGUAUAUCGAUUUCAUGACAAAUCACAAGUGGCAAAAACACCAAGAAAUGCUGCGCAUCCCCAAACUCCUGGCAGUCAUAUUUAUGGUGGGGAGGAUAUGGUCGGCUCGCUCAUCCUGACAGAGGUGUUCUUAUUUGAGGCGGCACAUCUCAUCAUCACACGGGUGCUUGUGAGGCAGAGGACAACUUCAUAAACAUGGAGAGCCGAACCCACUACUCCACAAAUUGGUGUUGUGUAGUGACAUCACUUCAGUCUCUUGGCUGUCUGGUCUCUUGGAUGCGGCCCUCAAAGGAGGUGUUGAAAAGUAAACAGUGCCUAGCUGGAAGGGAAACGAGUGCAUUUACUUCCCACCUCGUGCAUAGCUCACGUGGGAAGUCUGAGUGAAGAUGGUCCCCGGUGGGUUUGCUGACAAACUGGGGGAUCCUACUAGGCACCCAUCCUUCUAGCACUUGACAAAUAAAUGGGAAACACUGUUGACAGCUGUUCACAAUGAUGCAGAAGAGAGGGAAUUGCAUUAAAAGAGUGGCACUCCUGACAGAUAUUGCCCUUUCGUACAAAAAAAGCACAUAAAACAAAGGGGAGGAAAUCUAUUUGAAGGUGCAGCGAGCAACAAGCUGUGUUUUUAAUGCUGAAUUCGGUGCCGCUCAAAUCCCUCCUCCCCAUCCACAAAGCGCUGUGGUGGCACUUCACAAAAUAAAACAAGCUAGCACAUUUGGAGAGCACACUCUGUGCCAGGGGUUUGAUAAGAGUGGACUAAUUGCUGCAAACCAAAGAACAGUGCAGCUUGUCAGCAUGGCAUAUAGCUGGAGGUAGGGUCCAUCCUGAGUCAGUAUGCGUGUGUUAGAUAUUCUGUAUUUAAUUGAAGGGCCCACGGUACACUAGGGGAGGCUAAGGGGAAUUAUUAGGUUUUAACCAGGGGCCUUCUGGGAAAAGGGCCCUAAUCAGGAAGCUGGGGAGCGAGUGGAGGCUGAUGAGAAUUAUGACGAUUAUGACAUGUUAGCACAUGUCUGUAGGACAAGUGGACAGACGAUGAGUUAAUCAAGGGCUCGAUUAAAUGGCUCCCAUGCUGUCAGAAAGCUACCCCCAGCCUUCCGUGUCAACGUCUUCUUUUUAGGGUCAGCAUCUACCUUUAAUGACUUAUGGACGUGUGUGUGUGUGUGUGUGUGUGUGUGUAUAUAUAUAUAUAUAUAUACAUAUAUAUAUAUAUGUGUGUGUGUGUGUGUGUGUGUGUGUGGUUUUAAGUCUUGUAUUACUCAUUGCUUGGUGCCUCAUUAACAAUUCACGUCCAUCAUAUGCAAACACUUUUAUAUGUGCAAAACAGUGACCUUGAGUCAAAGGCAUAGUUCAGAUAAAAAUGAAAACUGUCAUCAUUUACUUACCCUCAUGUCAUUCCAAACCUGCAUGACUUUCUUUAAUCUGCAGAAAAAGGAUCUCAAUGUUUGUAUGAACAAAAAACACUCUUGAAAUUGUGUUUUAACAUAAGGGUGAGUAAAUGGCAAAACUUCACUGUAGAGCAACACUAACAUUUCAUAUCCCAUACUACAUGUACAGUGUGUGUUGAUCUUCAAUUCUUUCAAAUUUUGCAGAAUUACAGGGACCAGCAUAGCUCCUUAUGACAAAUUUUAUGUCCUGUAAUGCUCUGAUUAGGUCAUGCUUUUUACCAGAAGAGAGUGUUUAGCUUUAGGUUGUGUAUUUCUGUAAUUUUCUGUAAUUAGUUGACUGUUUUAUAGAGCCCUCAUUUUCAUUAUCACUGUUGACUUAAAUUUAAGCUUAUAUAUGAUAAAGGGCAUACGUAUUAGCUGUGCUACGCUAAUCAGUCAACGAUGAUAUCUAUAAACAUCAAUUUAAGCAACUGAAACCACUUUUAACUCAUUCAGUUUUUUUUUCUUUUUUUAUCAGAUACCCUUUGUUCAUUGUCUCUCUUUCCUUUUGCGUUGACAACAUUUACAAACUUACGCUUUGAUUGUUUAAUCCGUGACUGAAAUACAGGGUUUGACUGGUAUCAAUCUGCAUGGCAUCUUUUCCUGGAGAAAUAAUGAAUAGACAAAUAAAAGUUACAAAUAUGUGGAAACAGUUUUACAGCACACAGGUUUCUGCUGUGCCUGUCAAUAUUUUUUUGGCAAUACAAGCAUUAUAGUAAGCCGAGCUAUGCUAACCAGUUAUCUGGUUAUGAUUUCUGUGCAAUUCCAUUGAUUCAUUAUCCCUAAAUGACAUUUUCAGUGGAACUAACUGGAAUAUAUGAAUUGCAAACUUGUUUACCAUGUUUUGUUCUUCAAUGUCUGCUCAUUUAGUUUUCUGAAAUGUCUCUUCAUUAGCCAGGCUCAUGUGUUUCUUAGCGUCAAGCUAAUUGAUUGAACCUCUCAUAUGUUAAUCCUCCUUUGGAGGGACCAAUACCCUCUGCACUCGAAUUUACUUUUUUCACCCUAUCACUAAUAAAGCCAACCUCCCUGCUGAUGGAAAAUUGUCGGUUUACCUCAAGCUACAUGGGGCUUAGCAAUCAGGCCUUAAAAAAGCACUGACAGGUUAACCUGCUGUGCACAGGGGUCUCCAGGGACAGGCCUCCACUUCAGUUUUACAUGCAAUGCUUCUGUUUGCCAACAAAAAUAGAGUUGUUACCAGCCACUUGAGUUUAACCUUUGCAGACCCUAGGAAAAACUGGCAUGCUCUAAACUGCUGUAUGCUCUUUAGUUCUAACCUACUUUGUUUAGUUAUGCUGCCUACAGCACUAUUUUUUGCAAAAUCACAGGAAAUGUCACACAUGUGCAUCUCAGUUUCGGGAACCAAUGAAAGAAUUUGAUAUUGGUUAUUAUCAUUACAUAACAGUUUAACCAUCUCGUUGCACUUCAAAUGGAGAUUUUAUACAUUCUAAAAUUACACUGAUCAAUUCUAUAACCAAAACACGACUGUUAUACAGUAUAUGUAGUGUGUCAGGCUUAAACACUUCCUGUGCUAUAAUCUACAACCCUUUACACAUUAUCUUACAAUUUUGGCAUGGUCAUGUCUUUGUAAUGGGCUUUUAGUGGGACAGUUUAGGGUUUUCACAGCAUUUGAAGACAGUCUACAACAAUAGACAGCACAUUCGCAUGCUUGUUCAAGGUGAAGUGGCUGUAACACAGCACUCAGAGUGGGCUCUUUAUUGUUCACUCUCUAACAACCCAUUGUGGGCCACAGAAAAUGUAAAACGUCUUCCACAGAUAUCCAUCAAAGACUUUAUCAUUACGUCUAUAAAAUAUCAAGUUCCUUUGUGAGACAUUGGUGCCUUAUUCUGUAUUUCACCCAGUCUGGUGUGUAUUGUAAUAUGCUUUUCCACGCUCAGCCACGAGUUUUCCUAAUGAUAAUCAUUGAGCAUUACUAACGACUAGCCAUUAGAGCCAUAACCACAGAGCGUUCCAAACUCCUCCUGUGUAGCACAAUGGAUCUGCAUCUAUCUGGGACCUAUCCAGGAGAUAGCGGCAGAAUUAACAUUUAUUGUUUUUGAUAGACUUUUAAGCAGCAAAGGUGUGUGCUUUUAUCAGAUGUUUUAAGAGCUUAACAGAUUUGACAGGCAUUUGAUAUCUUGAUGCCUCCUCAAGUCUCUGGUGAUUAUGUUUGAUGAUGUCAGUGUAUAUUUAGUUUUUCUCUCUUUGAUGGAAUUAUAUUCUACUUUCAUGCAUCAGACACCCCUCUUUAAUGUCUAGCUUCCUUUUUUUCCCAGUUACAACGCUUACAGAAUUACAUGUUUAGCAUGGUUUUUCAAUCUAAACCCUAAAAAUUUGCAGGGCAACAGAUUCCCUUACAGAUAUUAACUAAUCUCUAUAGUAACCGCAUCUUUUCCUAGAAAUAUACUCUUACAAACAGACAUGAAAUAAAUCAUGAAAUGUAUAUUUAUAAUAUUAAAUGAUUAAAACAAGGGUCACACAUCUAAGUAUUGUUAAUAGUUAUAAAUAAAGACAUUAAAAUCAAAUUUUCAGCAAAUACAAGUCACAUUUUCAGCUAGUUCUAGGUUAGCAAAAGUUAAAGGGCCAUUUCACCCAAAAAUGAAAAUUCUGUCUUCAUUUACUCAUAGUUCCAAAACUCUGACAUUUUUCUACUGUGAAACAAGAAGAUAUUUUGAUAAACCUCUCAGUGUUUUUUUAACCAUACAAUGGAAGUCAAUAGUAACCAAAACUGUUUUGUUACCAAAAAGUAAGACAGAAUUUGUAAUUUUGCGUAAAUAUUUAAUAUUUUUAUUCCAUACAAACCAUCCUUGAAUCUAAUAUUAAACGUUCCUCAUGGCAGUUUGCGAUGACACCUCUUUAAAAAAAGAUUGAGCUCACAUGAGUCUUUUUAACACUUUAGUGCGAAGCAAAGUACGAACAACAGGCUAAUAAACACCUUCUCUUCUCUGCCAUGUUGAUCCAGUUGUUGAUAGAGAUUCCUAGGAAUCUCUCCCCUGAGUGCAAUUGUCUGUCACUUAAUUAGCUUAGGUUUAGCACCACAUGGUCCUCAGGUGUGUGUGUGCAUUUGCUCUGGUGUGCUAGUGUCUUUGUAAGUAGGUGUUUGUACACACAGCACUUGUUCAUUGUUUAUUUUUUAACAUAUGGAUGUUUUCGUUUACAUGUAAUAGACAGAGGAGCUUACAUUUGUGUAUUGUCGAGGACCCUGAUAGUGUUUUCAUUCUGUUGUCGGUGGAAUGAAUAGCACCUUGUAGUAAACGCUGUGCUGUUGUUUUGGCUUUUUUCAUUCAUUAAAAAACAUAUUUGAAACUAUUUUUUAUUAGCAUCAGGUGGCCUUUAUAGAAAAUGCAUUCUGGCUAAUAGUUGGAUAACCGUGCGUACAUAUACAUCGCAAACAAAAAUGAAACCACAGUGUCAGCUGAUAUACAUACUACUGUUCAAGUAAAUUGAUAUGAAACUCUUUAGAUUGGAAUUCAAUUUUAUCGACUUGAUGCUGUGCAAGAAUAUUCAUUGCAUCCUUUUAGUCAAUUCAUUUAAUUAUCCCAGUCUUCCUGGGGUGCCUGCUAGAAUCACUGAAUGAAUGUAGCUUCCUCUUUCUGAAAAAUAUAAACGUUGUCAGAUGUGACCAAACCAUAUUUCCUAGCCUCUCAAUUCCGUCAAUAACUGUUAACAUAUACACAGCGGGGGGGGGAAAGCCACACACUGUCACACAUGGGUAACAUGUUGCAAUAGGUAGAAUGCCUUUUCAUUUCUUUUUAAUUUUGCAUAUCAUUGUUAUCAAUUGGUCAGACGUGUAUUUAUGAAAGUAUUUUUUUUCUGUUUUAUUCUUUGUCCCUCCUUACUCUCUUUUCAUCUUUGCUUUGGCUUCCCUGAGGAGCUCUCUUGAAAAAUGCGGCUCAUUUCAUUGUGUGCGAAUGUGCGUUUCCCCCAUUUCUCAUCUCCUCUCAGGUGGUGGUGAAAAUGGCGGCCUAUGGCUGGUCCUGUUUGGCUGGGCCGCCACUAACAAAAGCCAAUGUAAUAUAGAGGCGGCCACAGAGGCCAUGGGCCAGACGGGGAGCCCAAGCUGUGCCUCUGAAAGGGCCUGAGCCCGGCUGGUGUGGCGGCUUAAACAUACUCCACAUUCAAACCCCUGGAAAAAGAGAGGGAGAAAGAGAGAAUGAAGGCUGAAGAGAGAGAGAAAAAGCGGGUGAGAAAGAGAAGGCGACUGUUGUUUGAUAUCCCACAUUAGCUGGUGGUUUUUGCGGCUGGUGCGCGGGCGUAAAUGUGGCUGGGGUGGCUGCCACACAGAUAUCAAAGGGGGCCGACAGCAUCUGGCUGUGCUAGCGGUGGCUGCUGCAGGUGGCCCCUGGAUUCAACCCUCACCACAGGGAGGCAGCUCAGCCCAGCCUUAGCCCAGAAAGAGAUAGAAAAAGAGAGAGAGGGAGAAGGCAAAUACAGGCUUGAAAAGAAAACAAGAGAUUGAGAGAAGCUGUGUUCCUGAGGUUGGGCUGGGAGGUGGAUGGUAAGAGAAUUAAAUUACUGGGCUCCUCAUGCCCUGAUCUGCUGGGCCACAAAAGAACCCUGAAAAACCAGGAUUCACAAAGGAGAACUCAAAAAUUAAGAUGAAAACGCUAACAUUUUUAUACUUUAUAAUAUUCAACAAUUCAUACAUACACACAAAGUCUAUAUUUUCAUUGACAUGGAUAUGACUCUGGCAUGGUUACUCCUGGUUAUGGUGAGCUAUAGAUUAUGGAAGGAAUUGUGAGGGAGAAUUAAUUAUUUAACAAAACUUGAAACAACAAAACCACAGCAUGGGGCAAUGCAGUGCACCAGAGAGAAGGUCUUUUAUUAUGUUAAGUGAGAUUAUUCUGCCUUGCUGAAAUAUGGUAUGAAAAUACCAUAUGAAAAUGGCUGACGCUUCCAGAUGCUUGAUGCAUACUGAAUAUACUGUGCUAAGAUGCUGAUGAUAUGCCUUUCCAAAGAGACUAAAAAGCUAAGUGAUUAAAAAAACAACAAAUGGUUUGGAAAUUCUGAGCAUAUUAAUGUCUUAUUAAUUUAAUUUAGUGGCUUAAUAACUUAAUAAACAUCAUUUAUAUCUUAAUCCUAACAUCAUGAAUUUGAAAAGUUGCCAUUUAAUUCACCCAAAAACUAAAAUUCUGUAAUUAUUUACAUACCUUCAUGCCAUUGACAAAUACAAAAAAAAUAUUUUGAAGAAUGUUUCAUAUAAUAAAAUCAAAACAAUAUUCCAAUGACUUUUUUUUUUUUUUUUUGGAUAAAUGUUUUAUAUAUAUUAUGUCCCCUAGAAAGAUGAAAGUCGAGUUUGAAACAACAGCUACGGGUGACUAAAUAAUGAAAGAAUGUUCUUUUCUUUUCUUUUUUUUUUUUUUUGGUGACCUAUCCCUUCAAUUUAUUAGAAACAUGUUUUAUUGAAAGUACAGAGGUUAUCAGCUGGAUUUAACUUAUUUAACAACAGGACUCAGGUAAGCCAGAUUUUUGAUUUUUAUUUUUUUUUUUGGCCGCAUUACAAUGUCUCUGAAAAAGGUUGUUGAUUAGGGUCAUUUAUGUUAACUGUGUGUUGAAACCUAAUGUCAUACCAAUCAUAUAUGCUCUUCCAUCACAGCUGUGUUCUCCUCAAAAGGCUGAAUAACAGGUACUGUAAAAUUUCCUCUGCAAAUAUUUAUAAAGUCUCAUAUCACAGCUUAAAAUUCGGGCAGAGACAUAUUUUCCUAAUAUAUCCAAAUAUUUCCACAGUGUGUAACAUUGAGUCUAUUGGUUUGAGGCUGGGUGGAAUCUAAAAAUGUAAGAAUUGUUGGCCACAUUUCCAAAUCAUUCCUCAGUCACAUACUACAUUUUUGUCUCUUCUCUCUUUGCUUAGUCUGCAAUUUAUGGUCCUUUUUAAGGUUUGGUAAUUCAUAAUUGUUUGACAUUAUUUUCUGUCAUGUUUUAAUUAUGCACUAAAUUGGUAAAGUCUCUUUCCAGUCUGGAAUGAAUGAAGUUGCAUUGAAUUUGUAUACUUUUUUCCCUUCGCUUGUACAUUAUAAGCCACCAGCAGAUGGGUCUCAUUAUCAAGGGUCACACAAAAUCCUAAUUAGAUCAUCAAAAGGUGAUAAUUGUUCUUUAUAUAGUGCCAAAAAAAUAUUUUGUCUAAAUCAUACAGAUGCUCCAGUUGACACGUUUACGCUGGGAAUCUUUUAGCUAAUAGCGCAGCCAAUAGUUUAUUCAAGCAGGGUUUUUCUUAUUAUAUUAAAACCAACAUUUUAAAUAAUGGUGAUUAAUAUCACAAUAGCAGCAGUAUUCUGACUCGUCUCACCAUUUCGUUUGAUAAAAUAACCAUCAGGUCAAUCCUUCACAUGCUAACACACUCAAAUAGAGUUUUACGGUUGCACACUCAUUGCAGGCUGUAAUACCUUGCUCUGCAUUAACCUUUUACAGUGAUAUUUAAUUAAAGGUUUAAAGGGCACCCAACACCUGCACCAUGCUCUGAAUGCAGCCUCCGCCACUAAGUGACGGCACGACGGAGGAGUGUGGCAAUUAGCAUGACCUUAAAACAGGCACGGACGCUCUCUUGCCCAUGCUGUGCAGAGCCUUGCCUGCCCCAUGGCAUGCUGGGGCAAUCGAGAUGGCCCCCAAGCUGACAUGCUCCCCUGCAAAAGUGAGUGGAACCAGCCCAGAGGUCACUAGGGCAGCUCAGGACCUCUGGGAGGAGGUGGGAGAGCCCUAGACUUAAAAUUAACACCACUUGAAUUCAUCUGUGAGGUAAAUCUAGCAGUGAGGGUCAUGUAGGUCUAUCGCAGUUAAUAAAUGCUGUCUUAAGAUGACAAUGAGAGGCCAAAUCAGGCUAGUUUGGGCUGGCUUUUUUGUCAUCAUUUACUCACCCUCAAGUUGUUUUAAACCUGUAUGACUUUAGUUCUAUUGUGGAAAACAAAGACAUUUUUUGCCCAUACAAAUCUUUUUUUUUUCUUUCAACCUCGUUGAUUCUUAUUGUAAUGGCAAAAGAAAUGAAAUAUUCCACAGAAUUUUCUUUUUUUUCCACAGAGGGAAGAAAGUUUGGAAUGAAUGGAAUGGAAUUGGGAGGAACAACUUCCUCUCAAUCAGUAUGACUUCCGAAAUGCAGUGGGAAUGUCUGAGUGCAGAAUCAACCAAUCAGAAAUUUGCAAAAAGGCAGCAGAAGGUGUCAUCUUCAUUGGACCUGACACACAUGCUACUCAAACCAUGGGAGACAAGAUCAGAGGCAAAUUAAUCGCCAAGAUGCCAAGGUCAGUGUCGUGCCCCCAUACACGUGGGCUGGUCAAGAAGACAGCAAUACAGGAUGAAGUUUAUUUACAUCGCUGUCAACUGUUCCCUGCAUAGCAACAAAGCCAAUGAUUUCCACAUAAGAGCAGUAGGGAGACUCGGGUAGACAGCCCCUCCAGAGCCCGCUGAAGUGAAGCAUUAGUUGGGUAUGUUGGCUGGUCUCGCCCGGCCGCCCCACAGCAGGUUUGAAGCCUCUUCUAUCUUUGCCUCCAUUCAAUAGAAGAGCUGCUCCCCCUGCUGCCUGUCUCAAGCAACAACUUCCUCUUCCCUCACCCCUUUCAAUGGCACCCUUCACAUUUUCUCUCAUUUAAUCCCUAUUUCUUUCUCUCUCUGCAGUGAAACAGUAAGGAUGGUCCUGAUGAUACCCGUUUAGCAGUGGCUGACAUGAGUAGAGGUCUAUCAAGGAGGUCUGUUAAGCUAAUGGCGAGACAGAAACCCAUAUGGGAGGCCUUUUCCUAUGGAUACAGCUGCUGCGUUCCAGCUCUGUAGCUCUACGUUUGUGGGUUCAAUUAACUCAUACUGAUGCUUGCUUAAUUCAAUCUCCUGUUAGAAAUGUUUCAGUGUGCCAACAUAAUAACUGUAAUCACCUUGUCAUCAAGUCCCAUUGAACUCAAUCAUCCGCCUCUGAAAUGCAUUAUUCCCGUGUUUGACAGCCUACAGAGUCUUCAUGUUACUUUGUGUUCAUCUGAUCAUGAUUGAGAGAUUUAAAUGAACUUUUUUUUUAGACCUCUUUGCUGAGGUAGCACGUAUCCCAUGUUAUUUUACAAAUGGUCAGUUGUCAUAAUCUUAAUUUUACUGGCUCAAAGUUUCAAAUUAAGUUGCUCUCUGCUGGUAGGCUUUGCUUUCAGAUGCAUUAAAUUUAUAUGAAUCAACUGUAAAGACAUUUAUAAUGUUGAAAAAUAUUUCUUUAUCAAAUAAAUGCUGUUCUUUUGAACUUUCUAUUCAUCAAAAAUCUUGAAAAAAGGCAUCAUGGUUUCCACAAAAAUAUUAAACAGCACAACUGUUUUCAAAAAUUGAUAAUAAUAAGGAAUGUUUCUUGAGCAGCAUAUUAGAAUGGUUUCUGAAGGAUCAUGUGACACUGAAGACUGGAGUAAUAGCUAAUGGAAAUUCAGCUUUGCUAUCAUAGGAAUAGAUGACAUUUCAAAAUAUAUUAAAAUAGAAAGUUUGUUUGAUGUUUGUUUAUUUAAAAAACAUUAAAAAAAAAUAAUGGGACUCCAAAGUUUUGAACUUCACACAUAUUAAUCAAACUUCACUUGUUCUUGGCUUUGUGUGCUUUGCUUUUAAAAAAAAUGGAGGUGAUGCCUGAUGUGUAUUUAAUUCUUCAAAUAUUCAAUUACACGUUGUGUCAUGUAUAAUAACGGAGCAAGUUAACCUACUGACUGAUGGACACAAUGCUGGAUCUUCUCCUAAUCACUCUUUCGUUCUCUUUAACAGAACCAUGAUGGUACGAUGGCUCUGACAUUCUGUUCAUACCCCCAUCCAUUGAUUGUCUGCACCAUAAGCCCCAAGAGGGAGCUUAUUUGGGCCUGGCUGCAGCAUGCGGGUGUGUUAGGGAGCACAGGGUGGUCCCAUGGACCAGAGAGGGCAGCUAACUGGAGUAAACAGGACUCAGCAGGCUUAGUGUUUGUGUUUACUCUGCUGGAGAGGAGGCCAUUAGAGCAAACAGCCAGCGUUUCUUCACAUGUUGCUGAAAAUCACCCCAACCUUCAUUCACUCCUGUUUGGCACUACUAACACCCAGCCAGUGUGCCCAGAUGGCCCUGCUUUCCAGAUCUCUCACUGUUUCUGCCCUCUCUCCCCUCCCUCAAUGUGCCGUGGCGUCAUUAAAAGUGUCUGUGAGCGGGAGGUGUAAAAAAGGGUGCCGAGAGAGGAAGCAGAAAACAAUUUAGUGGCAUUUAAAAAUAAAGUCCUCCCCCUAUUUACAUGGCCUAUCUAAUCCAAUCUAGGCUGUGUCUGCAUUUUUAAUUUGCACAUUCAAGCAAGCUUCAGAGAGGAACCUAGGCUUAAUUAGUUUAGUUAUCUCCCCUCAUGAAUGGAUAAAGUUCCCACACUGCUGGUGUUUCAGAUGAAGCCUAAUUGGAUUUCGAGGCCAAAAACAAAAGGAGUAAUAAAAGAAAUGAGGGUUAGAUAACAGAGGAAGAUUGAAUUGAUAAAGUGAAAGGGGAAUGAACUGUAGUCACAGCUGAGGAGAGAGACAAGAUGCGGUCGAGAUCCUCGUUUGAGGUCAAAAUCAGUGUAUUAGGGCCAAUGACAUAUGAAGAAAAAUCUUUUUAAAGAAUGAAAAAAAAAUGAAUUGGAAACUCUUAGAAAUGUACUCUUUUCUUAUUAGUUUCAUGUGGUAUAACCAAGUACAAACACUGUGAAGAUGUGCAAAAUAUCUUCUCAAAUAUAUAUGAGUAAUCUUAAUCAUUAUUUCCAAACAAAGUUAGUAUAUAAUAUUAUGUUUAAUAAGUUCAAUAUGUUAUAUUUAACAUAUAAAGUAUUUUUGAAUUUAAAAUUCAUAAAUAUUUAAAUUUUUGGAUAAUCUCCCUGCAUGAUAUUGUACACUUGAUCUCACACUACCUUUCUAAUAUUUAAUCAUAAAUUACUUGUAUAAAUAUUUUAGUUUUUCUUAUUUUUCUGAAUUUUUGUCUUUUAAUUGGCCUUUAUCUUCAUUAUAUCAGGACAGUUGUAUGUGAUGUUUUCUAUGUUUUAUAUAUUACUGAAACAUUUUGCAUUUUAAAUGACACAAAAUUUACAACACCCCCUCAAGACCCCUCCAGGGGUUUCAGUGCAAUUUGCCAGAAAUGGCGCAUUUGAAUAUAAAAUCCAGGCCUCAAGAAAAGUAAGCCCACAUUCGGUUUUAAAUCUCAACCAGUCUUUGCCAGUAUACCGUAAUAAUACAGUUUCGUUCAGCUAGAGCAAAAGUGUCAGCAUGUUUAAAAAUCAUCAUUCUUAAAGAGACAACUGAGCCUGAGUAAAUCAAUUAUUGAACAUUACCCUUCAUUGUGAUAUCUGAUUCGAACAAGGUCAAGGGAAUUAUUAAUAACCUUCUGUUCUCUUUCACAGACACGUUUACAAAUUAGCACUUCUCACAGGCCUGGGACCUGCUUUAUGAAGCCGAGUUUUCGGAGCAGCCUGGAAGUGUGAAAGAGUUCCAGAGGGCAGAGCAUUUGGAGAAGUCUAGAUAAUGAGAGUCUUUUGUUAAUGCCAUUGAUCUCGAUUCAAUUAGUGAAAAGGGCCCAUGUUUGUGACUACUGUGUGCACAGCAUAUGUGUGUUUCUGUAUGUAAUUGACUUUGUAAGUCCUCAAAGAGUAAACUUGUAGCAGUUUCAAACAUUCAAUGUUAUUGUCAAGCACAAAUGAACAGCCAAGUAUGUGUGUCUUUUUUCUGUUUCUGAUUUUUUUUUUUUUUCUUUUUUUUCUUUAGCCAACUGAGCUGGUUUGGGGCUGAUCUUGUGUGAUGUAUAGAUUAAUUAAAUAAGCAUAUUGAUUCCUGUUCUGGCAACACAGAGUGUGGGGUUUUAAUUAGCCCACGCUUGAGUGUGUUAAAAUUCCUGUCUUAUCUGUGUGGAACCAAGUGGAACUAAAAACUGAAUGCAUGAGGGCUGCUCAUCAACUCAAAAUCUCCAAUAACCUUUUUUUCCCCCUUGUUUGUUUUAGUCCAACCCAAACCUCAAACUUUAUUGUAAGUGUAUGAUUUAUAUGCCAACAUUUUCAUUCCCAAUAUUAAUUUUUUUAUCUCCAAGGAAUACAAAAUAGUUAAGUAAAUAAUACAUAUAUAAAACAAACAAUUAUGUAUGUAUGUGUGUGUAUAUAUAUAUACAAAUAUACAAAGACUGUUUUGAGUGAUUAAUCACUCUGAUGUGGUCUUAAUUUUUAAGUUAUUUCUUUCAAAAAAUCUUAUUUGAAACUAAAAAAUAUACUAAAUAUUUUUCUGAUACAGGUUUUAAAAUAUCAAAGUUUUACUUAUAUUUCCUUGUAGUAUUUUUGGAUAUAUAAAUACAGUGAUCCAUAUGACCAUAAUACGGUGGCCAAGAAAUGCAAAACAGAUUACAAUUCUGAAAACAAAAUAACAAAUUACAAAUGCAAACCUAAAAAACAAAAUAACAAUUCAGAAAACACAACAACAAUUCAGAAAAUAUUAUAACAAGUCAGAAAACACAAUGA
ensembl:lncRNA